rnacentral:lncRNA from 1 species
UUUCCAUCGCUGCAAAUCCCUGCAAACAGCCUCAUUCCCCGGUCAGCUCCCCUCAGUCCACAGCCCUAAAGAGCAAACGUAGCUCCUGUAAAUCUCCGCUCCCCCUCCGACACCCCAUGGGGCGACCUCGGUCGCCUCCAACCUUUUGCUCCUAAAGCCUUUUAUUUAUUUUGCUGAUAAACUGCAACCCCUGCAGGAUCGCUCUGUGGGAACAGCCUGGCCAGGCUGCGAGCCUUGGGGUUUCCGUCCUGUCCCAGCACAUUUUUCUUCCUCCCACCUUCCCCUCACCUCGCUCCACGGUGCCCGGGGCAGGGGCUGUGUCUGGACUUAACUCCGCGACAGCACAGAAAUCCCGAUCAGCCCCCUGAACUGGGCUGCUUUCGUCGUUCGCAGCAGAGAUCCCCAAACUGGCUUUAUCGUGGCAAAGAGGCUGCAGGAAUCUCACCCAGGAACUAGAGGCGAACGAGGCGUCCCGAGCCAGCCCCGGUGCUGCCACCGACUGCAGCCCUGUUAGCAGCACGGGGCGUGCAGGGACACCAACGCUGCAAUUAUUUGCCAUUAUUUGCCCCGCGGUGGCAUUUGGGAGCAGCGUGCAGAUGCGAACUGCAGGUAGGGACCUUCCCCGCCCCAAAACGUUGCCCAUAAAGCAUAAAGCGAGAGGGGAAAAGCGGAGGGACAGAAAUGGGAACGCCGAACCUAAAACCAAGCUGAAGGGAGCCGGUACCCAUCACUGCAGGCUGCUCACCCCGCUGCGGGCAGCCCGGGGUCUGCAGCACUGGGGCUACAGGGAUAUGGGGUCUCCAGACAGUUUGGUCUGUGGAUAAAUUUUAGCUAAAUCCCUGCCCGUCAGCACACCGGGCAGGUGAGAACAAAGGAGUCGGGGGCUGGAUGCUGAAGCUGCUCUCUGAGCCUUUACCCCCUCGUUGCCCCACUGCGAACGCAGCUGGGCAGCUUUUGGUCCAAACUCUCCGUUUUGAGGCCAUUUGUGACCUCCUUGUCGGUGGGAAGCGGCCUUACGCCAGCAGCGUGCUUUCUUCCCGGCACAUUUGGCAGGGGCUGGAUCCGCAGCGUCCCGCGAAACAGCUCCUAGGUGACGGGGACAGCGAUGGCCGGUGGGGCCGCAGUCAGGUGAGGGUGUCCCGCACGUUAUCAGGAGUGUCUCCGGUGUGAGCGUGGUGUUGAGGGCACGCAGCUCAGGGCAGCAGAGGUAGGAGCUCCAGGUGCCGCACAGUGGUGGCCUUCACCUUAGAAAGCACAAGGACAGGCCCUGAGGAGCUUUCCUCCUGUGGGUCAGCUGCUGUCCAUGUCUGUAUCCCCAUCCUCAUCCCAUCAGUAUCCCCAUCCUCAUCCCAUCUGCAUCCCUACCCUUGCCCCAUCUGCAGUCCCAUCCCCAUCUCCCUUCCUGUCCCCAUUCCAUCCCCAUCCCCAUUCCAUCCGCAUCCCCUUCCCACCCCACCCCAUC